rnacentral:rRNA from 1 species
UACGUAGGGUGCAAGCGUUAAUCGGAAUUACUGGGCGUAAAGCGUGCGCAGGCGGUUAUAUAAGACAGUUGUGAAAUCCCCGGGCUCAACCUGGGAACUGCAUCUGUGACUGUAUGAGCUAGAGUACGGUAGAGGGGGAUGGAAUUCCGCGUGUAGCAGUGAAAUGCGUAGAUAUGCGGAGGAACACCGAUGGCGAAGGCAAUCCCCUGGACCUGUACUGACGCUCAUGCACGAAAGCGUGGGGAGCAAACAGG